rnacentral:rRNA from 1 species
GAUGAACGCUAGCUACAGGCUUAACACAUGCAAGUCGAGGGGAAACGGCAUUGAGUGCUUGCACUCUUUGGACGUCGACCGGCGCACGGGUGAGUAACGCGUAUCCAACCUUCCCAUUACUGUGGGAUAACCUGCCGAAAGGCAGACUAAUAUCGCAUAGUCUUCGAUGACGGCAUCAGAUUUGAAGUAAAGAUUUAUCGGUAAUGGAUGGGGAUGCGUCUGAUUAGCUUGUUGGCGGGGUAACGGCCCACCAAGGCGACGAUCAGUAGGGGUUCUGAGAGGAAGGUCCCCCACAUUGGAACUGAGACACGGUCCAAACUCCUACGGGAGGCAGCAGUGAGGAAUAUUGGUCAAUGGACGGAAGUCUGAACCAGCCAAGUAGCGUGCAGGAUGACGGCCCUAUGGGUUGUAAACUGCUUUUGUAUGGGGAUAAAGUUAGGGAC